rnacentral:misc_RNA from 1 species
GUGAAUCAUCGAAUCUUUGAACGCAAAUUGCGCCUUUUUCGGAAAGCAUGUCUGUUUGAGGGCACCAUUUAACAAAUAAUGUGCAUUUCGUGUGCACACGUUGAUGAGCUUUCCAAAAUUAUGUAUUAUUAUUUUUGGUGGCGCAUAUUAAACAGGGGGUUGCUUUUUUUAGGUUGGGGUGAAGUAAAUUUUUUUUUUGUUUGGGUGGUGAAAAGCGUAAUCGCGAAUUGGGUGGGG